rnacentral:rRNA from 1 species
UACGAAGGGGGCUAGCGUUGCUCGGAAUCACUGGGCGUAAAGCGCACGUAGGCGGAUUGCUAAGUCAGGGGUGAAAUCCUGGAGCUCAACUCCAGAACUGCCUUUGAUACUGGCGACCUUGAGUCCGGGAGAGGUGAGUGGAACUGCGAGUGUAGAGGUGAAAGUUCGUAGAUAUUCGCAAGAACACCAGUGGCGAAGGCGGCUCACUGGCCCGGAUACUGACGCUGAGGCACGAAAGCGUGGGGAGCAAACAGGG